CAAACAAACAACAACAAAAAAAAAACAAAAAAAGAAAGUAUUUUUAUUGACGUUAAAUAUAUACCUGCCCUACAAUUCAGCAAUUCUACUUCUAGGUAUUUAUCUAAGAGGAAUGAAGGGAUGUGUCUACAGAAAGACUUUUAUAAAAUAUUUAUAGUAACUUCUUUCUUUUAUUAAGCCCCUUCCAUUCUAGUACAUAGUAGCUUUAUUAAUAAUAACCAACUCAAUAAUUCAAACAUCCAUCAUUGGGAGAACAGACAAGUAGCUUAUGAUAUAGUCAUACUAUAGAAACCAUUCAAAAAUAAAAAAUAAUGAACUAUUGAUACAGGCAAUAUUGAUAAAUCUCAAAAAUGUUAUGUUGAACAAAAUAAGCUAAACACGAAAUAGUGCAUACACUUUGCUUUCAUUUAUAUGAAGUUCACAAAAAGACAAAAGUUAUAUCCAGAGAUAGAAAGCAGACAGUGGUUUCUUGUGGUAGGUGGGUAUUGACCAGAAGGCAGAAGUGAUGAAAACGUUUUUGCAGCUGUACACAUUUGUCAAAACUCAUCAAAUUGUAUGCCGCAGAUCUAUGCAUUUCUUUAUAAGUAAUUUUAGCUCAACAAAAUGAGCGAGAAGCAUAUUUAGCUACUCUUUUGUAAUUAUUCAUUAGCACAAAUAACCAGGAUUGACCUCAGAUGUUUUUGGAAUCUGAGAUGUCAAUCACAAGCCAAGAACAUUUCUAAACACAUCAAUUUGAAAAGAAGGAAACAAAUUGUCUUGGAAGCUAUUUUGUGCCCUUAGAAACUCUUGAAUUCCAUGAGAGUGCGUUUUUCUAGAUGAGGUCAUGGGCAUUUUCAGAGUCAUCAUAAAUUAGCCCGAGUGUCUGAAGAGGUCAUGCGGGGACAAGGGGAAGUUCCAGAACUUCUUAUUCUCACAGACUUUCCUUUCAUAAAGAAUCUUUCCUGGAAUUUAGGAUCUUGACACCUCCAGGUCUGUAGCUCAGUAACCACUAAAGAGCUUGGCUAUAAUCCUUUUCCCUGAAAGGCCUUGUCAGGAAGUGCCAAACAUCACCUGAAGGCAGCAGGAGGUAGAAGAGUGUGUGGAAAGGUACGCUGGAGGGUUGCUCUUUUUCAAUCUAAUAGGAAUAAAUUUGGGAUUUUUUUUUUAGCCCUUCUCAGUGUAGUGUUAUAAAAGCAGCAACAGAACAACAUCCAAAAAAAGAAUAAAAAAUAAUUUGUCUAAAAGUCUUGCACAGUAAUAACAGGAGGAUUCCACUUAUAUGACUCCAAAAUGUUGAAAUCAUCUUUCCCUAUAUUAUCAUUCUUUUAUUUUUUAAGACAGCAUACAACUGUCCUCAUUCUCUAGUUUUACUCACUAACAAUGCCAAAAAUUACUUCUCAAAAUUCAGCUAACAAGGGCUUUUCUCUGCCUUUACACUUCCUCCUGUCUUUCCAGACCCACUUCCUGCUUCUCCCAAUGGGUCUUCUCAACAUAAAUCAUUCUCUCCCGGAAUAUUUUCCAAUUCCUAGCUCUACGCACUCCCCCAGCUCACACCAAGGGACCUGGGAGCUUGGGAGGCAGACAGAAUUUUCCUUAGAAGAGGGGAAGGGGAAUAUUUUUCUCCCUGUAAUUUUAAAGUAUUGGCACGAUUCUGGAUGUAGACAUCACCUUCUUUUCUGAGAUUAUUUGAAGUGUCUGGUGCCUAUGGACUGUGGGAAAAUUUGAGAUGAUCAAUUCGGGAGUUGGAGGUGGGGGUGUAGGGUGGUAAACACUCAAGGCUUAGAAAUUGGGGCUCCCCACCCUGCACUAGGGUCUCACACAAAGGGGUUGGCACAGGGCUGAGAAGCAGUGGGGCUCCUGUCCACCCUGCCCAGCACCUACUCCCACCAGGCAACUGAGUGGUAUUUAGUCUGCAAGACUAGCCCAGAAACUUGAAUGGGACCCUGAGAGAGCCAGGGGUUCCUUGGGCCCCCGCUAGGGGACUUUCUGUUUGCCCUGGGUCUCCCUGUGUGGGCAGGGAUGGAGAGUGAGGGCCUGCCUUCAUGGCAGUAGGCUCUGAGUGGGUGACUGGCGCCAGGCCAAGUUCUAGGUGGGCUUCCCAAAGCCACAUUCAGGCAGGACGGAGCUGCUCUUGCACACGGUUUCGUGGGCUGGAUUUUCUCUGUUGCACACAUGCUUAGUAUCUGUCUCUCCCUUUGUUCCUGAGUGGUGGGCCGCACAUGAGGCUCUGAGCAGGCUAUAUCUCUAUUCUGGCAAUAAAAGUACUCUGGACACUGUUAAGGUGAGAAAAGAAAAGAAAUCGGGGCUCCCAGGAGGAGAAUCCUGAACCACGGGCUCUGCGGUGAUGUGGCCUUCCUCUUUAGUUUUUGUGCCUUUUAUGUGGGCAGAGGGAAAAAGAGACAGCCAGCAGUGAUCAUUAAUCCUGAAAAUGCCGAGGGCUUUGGCCUGGGACCCACACCAAGACAGAGUCAAACCGAGUUCUUCUAGUGUUGAGCGUGUUUCACAUCUUCCGUUGGAGUUUGCUGUGGAUGCUCAUUAGACAGACAUGGGCAGAAUCCCACUUGUUCCUCGUCCUUUUCCACCUCACCUCCAUCAUUGUGGCUGAAAUACACGAUCAUGGGUGUAUCUUUCCUUGUGGAUUUGUUGCCUCUAGGAGUUCUGUAUGCAGCUGAAGGGUAACAUCCCUUGGGAGCUUUUGCCUUGUCUGGCUGACGCCUUGGCAAUCGCAAGUGACAGUGACGGAGAGCCACCUCCUCUGGAAUGCAUCAUGGAACAGAAAGGGAAAAGCCAGGCAUUUGUAGUCCUCCUGCCACAGAUGACCAGAAUGACCUCACCCAGGACAAACGGCGACAGAUUUAGGAAUUCAAGCCAGCUUUUCUGACUCCCAGGCACCUGCUCUCUCCUUUCGAGUGUUCGACUCCACUCUCAGUCACUCGUCACUCUUCCCAGAAGGACAAAUGUGCAGCUUCUAUGUCUUGGAUUUCAAAUAAAAGACGAGGAACUUGGUGAAAUGA
rnacentral:lncRNA from 1 species